ensembl:lncRNA
GCAGAAGGAGGUUGGGCUAAAUGACCCAAGGGGUCUCCUCUUACAACCCUUCUUCUUCUUCUUCUUCUUCUUCUUCUUCUUAUUAUUAUUAUUAUUAUUAUUAUUAUUAACAUUGAGGCUGGGUGGCCAUCUGUCAGGGGUGCUUUGCUUGUGCUUUUGCUGCACAAAGGCAGAAAGGGGUUGGACUAAAUGGCCCAAGGGGUCUCUUCCAACCCUCUUUAUUAUUAUUAUUAUUAUUAUUACAGUAGAGUCUCACUUAUCCAACAUAAACAGGCCGGCAGGAUAAGAGAAUAUGUUGGAUAAUAAGAAGGGAUUCAGGAAAAGCCGAUUAAACAUCAAAUUAGGUAAUCGUUAUACAAAUUAAGCACCAAAACAUCAUAUUAUACAACAAAUUUGACAGAAAAAGUAGUUCCAUGCGCAGUAUUGCUAUGUAGUUACAGUAGAGUCUCACUUAUCCAACACUCGCUUAUCCAACGUUCUGGAUUAUCCAAUGCAUGUUUGUAGUCAAUGUUUUCAAUAUAUCGUGAUAUUUUGGUGCUAAAUUCAUAAAUAAAGUAAUUACUACAUAGCAUUACUGCGUAUUGAACUACUUUUUCUGCCAAAUUUGUUGUCUUACAUGAUGUUUUGGUGCUUCAUUUGUAAAAUCAUAACCUAAUUUGAUGUUUAAUAGGCUUUUCCUUAAUGCCUCCUUAUUAUCCAACAUAUUCACUUAUCCAACAUUCUGCCGGCCGGUUUAUGUUGGAUAAGUGAGACUCUACUGUACUGUAUUUACAAAUUUACCACUAAAAUAUCACAAUGAAUUUAAAACACUGACUACAAAAACAUUGAUUACGAAAAGGCAGACUGCGUUGGAUAAUCCAGAACAUUGUAUAAGCAAAUGUUGGAUAAGUGAGAUUCUACUUUAAUAUGAAAUAAUUACUGGGAUAGAAUAAUGCAGAACAAUAUAAUCUCUAAAACCAGGACAGUAAAUAAAGAGCAACAGUCUGAAAGCAGGGAAAUUGGAAAUUCCACAAACAAUCAGGGCCAGCUAACACCUCCCAAGAAAGGAUUCUUCCAGAAAGGAAGCUGAGAAGAGAGUGAAGCACUGUGUAUUACCAAAGUCAUUAUUAUUACUAUCAUUACUAUUAUUAUUAUUAUUAUUAUUGUGUUGCGGUCAACUGUGAAAAUGAAUACAAUCUGGCUCCAAGUAUUCAAAAACACUAAAAUCAGAAUAUAUAAAAAUUAAUGUGGUGUAAUAAUACAAUCUUUAAAAUCAGAACACUAAAUAAAGAACAACACUCUGAAAACGGGAAUUCCACACAGGAAACAAUCAGGGCCAGCUAACACCUCCCAACAAAGUAUUCCCAUCAUCAAAGUCUGGCAAAUCCUCUGUUUUCUCAGGGCUACAGACAGUAGAAGCACAUAAAAUAUCGCAAAGGACACCACUCUGAAAACAAGGGAAUUCCAGACAGGAAACAAUCAGGGCCAGCUAACACCUUCCCACAAAAUAUUCACUCAGGGAGGAAACAGCCAGGCUUUAAAGCUGCAAGGCCAUUACAUCCUAAUCAUUUUCCCUAAUUGCAGCAUUCAUACAAAAAAAAACCAAUCAGAAAUAUUUUAUAUUCACAAGCUUUAGGAAAUAAUAUCCCCUGAUGGCAUAGCGUGUUAAAGCUGCUGAACGAAGGGCCGCAGGUUUGAAUUGGGGGACCAGAGUGAGCCCUCAAUGUUAGCCCAGCUUCUGCCAACCCAGAAGUUCGAAAACAUGCAAAUGUGAGUGCAUCAAUAGGUACUGCUCCAGUGGGCAGUCAUCCCACAUGACCUUGGAGGAGUCUACGGACAACGCUGGCUCUUCGGCUUACAAAUGGAGAUGAGCACCAACCCCCAGAGUCAAACAUGACUGGACUUAAUGUCAGGGGAAAACGUUUACCCUUUACCUUAACUACCACCAAUUCCUCAAUACUUUAUUUCCCAUACCACCAUACUUCGCCACAGCAACGCGUGGCCGGGCACAGCUAGUAAUAUAAUAUAUGCUUCAUAGCUCUGUUGAAGAC